UAAAGGAUUUUCUAACAACUCCGCUUCACUUUAUACCUACGUACCAACAACCACACGUUUGAACUCUCACUUGCCCUGGAUUAUUGGGAAUUUAUUUGUUUUUUAAAAAUAGCAAAAUUAAAUACUCUAACUUAUUCCGUGAAAUUCACGCGUAUCCCCUUAUAGAAUCCAGCUCCUCAAUUAUGCCCAAAUUUUACCUAAUAGAAUCUUAAGAUUUAAAAAGGACUACCCCUAUCAAACGGAGGUUUGAAAUUUGAAUAACGCGCGCGCCGCUCUGAAUCCUGAUUUGACGAUGAAGUUGGACAGUAAAGUGGCAUCGUUGAUCAUUUCUGGCUGCCAUCUGCUGAGUGCUGACUGCGGUCUGGUCAUCGCCACUCGCCAGUGGUAUUCGCGUCACCAGCGAUCCACUGUGAUCCCUGGUGAUUUCUGUGACGCGUAUUGCGCGGCAUGACGAUAGGCAAACGUGUCCUAAACGAGGAGAACGAAGAAGAGGGAGAAAAAUUGUAAAUCAUGCAGCACCACAGUCCAUCAAUGCGUCGCGUUCUUUCAUCGAUCUUCGUGAAAGAAUCUUCAUCGUCGUCGUUGUUAAUUUAAUCAUAGACUGACGUGUCCGCGCUGUGCCUGGAUGUGUCAAGAGUGAAAUCAUUGGCCGGAGAACCACGAAAGUCCG